rnacentral:rRNA from 1 species
AUUGAACGCUGGCGGCAUGCCUUACACAUGCAAGUCGAGCGGCAGCGCGGGGGCAACCCUGGCGGCGAGCGGCGAACGGGUGAGUAAUACAUCGGAACGUGUCCAGUAGCGGGGGAUAACCUGUCGAAAGAUAGGCUAAUACCGCAUACGACCUACGGGUGAAAGCGGGGGACUCUCGGGCAACUGAGGGCCUCGCACUAUUGGAGCGGCCGAUGUCGGAUUAGCAGUUGGCGGGGUAACGGCCCACCAAGGCGACGAUCCGUAGCUGGUCUGAGAGGACGACCAGCCACACUGGAACUGAGACACGGUCCAGACUCCUACGGGAGGCAGCAGUGGGGAAUUUUGGGACAAUGGGCGCAAGCCUGAUCCAGCCAUGCCGCGUGAGUGAAGAAGGCCU